AAAGGCCUCUUUAAAUGAACACAUUUGAAUUGUAAUGUGAUUUAUUUUUUUUCUUUCCAAAGAAGGAAGAAGUAAUGUUUUUUUUCUCUCAGGCAGCUGGUUGAGUUCAGGAGUUGUUGGCUGCAGAGGUUUGAAGAUGUCAUUUUCAGACUCCUCUGUUAAAACUGCUUUGAUAAAACCGGCUGUAAUACUCUUGAUUAAGGACUCUCCAUCUUGACUUAAUAAAAUGGAGGAAGUAUGUUGGGGGGGCCAAGGACUAAGGAAACUGGUUUUAGCUUAUUCAAGACAUUUGUUAUUGGGAAAACAUGUCUUUUGUAAUAGAAUUUAGUUGAAACUACAAGAUUGACAAAAGUGUUGAGAGAAAUCUGAUUUCAUUAAGUAAAAAUCAGCUUUUUGAGCCCGUCUCAUUAGAAAUCUGUUGCACUGAUGUCUGUUCACAGUGAUAUGCCUUACAUAUCUCAUAUCAUUUACCCAUCCCUCAAACUAAAUGGCACUUUGACCAUACAUCAGAGUGGUUUCUUGAGAUCUUUGUUAACACAUAUUAUACAUCCAAGGACUCAUUUGACACAUAGAAAUGUCACAAAUGCAAUAAAAUGAAACCAAGUCUUAAAAGCAGGAACUUGGUAACCAUGUCAACUGUUAGAUAUUUACUUGAGAAGUGCAGAAGUGCCGUGUUCAAGUGUUUGCUUCUGCUGAGUGAGUCUUGGUGAAAGGUCAGACCUUUUUAGACCUUUUUAGAGUUAUGAAUCCGACAUUCAUGCUCCUCAUCAGUGACACAGCUAGUGAUACAAUUUACUGUUGAGAUGUAAGUUAGUCACAACUCAACCUGCCACAGUCUUGGUCAAAUUUUCUCAAUAUGAAAUAUGAGAUUCAGUCAGUUUAACUUGGGUAUAGAUCCGGGGUCAUGUUAGCAAAUAACUUAAACUUACUGGAAAUAUCAAGCUAACUUUGUCAACAUGAACCAUCCUCAGACAAAAGUCAUGUUUUAGGACAAGUGUUGGACGUACCAUUGACCAAGUUACAUGUGGUUACAAUGAAAUAGCUGAGUUUUGGUAGGUUUAUUCAUCUAAAACGUCAACACAACCUGCCCCCAGUGGUUUGUGCUCUGCUGACGUCAUGUUCCUAACACAUGGCCCCAAUGUCCCUCCACAACCCAGGCAUAAAGAUAGAUGAGAACUGAUGGGUGACAUCACCAGGGUUUUCAAGCAGGUUCAAGGUUACAGACUCAAGGGUUGUUUGAGGCAAAGCUCAACCAUGCCGGAUUUGGCUGUAUGCUUUACCUCCCCUUACUUUCCCAUUUUUACAAGUAAUAGAGAAGGAGAAGAGUAAAGAGCUCAACCUCCCCGUAUCCCUCUUCAUCCUUAUUUUUGGAGAGGAAGAGACGAGGGUAGGAGAAGAAUCAGCAAAAGUGUCAGUCAAACGAACUCUGUGAGUAGAGAUAUGAGGCUAUUUUCAUGAUUGGAAAACAAAUUUUAAGUUGAACUCUUGGACAUUGAGCAAAUUCAAAGAUAGCAAGGUUAAUGUGUGUCAAAGUAACCCCCAGAUGGGACUACAUGGAUGCUCUGAAUGGCCCAUUCAAAAAGUCACGCAUGAAUUCAGUGGGAUCAUUAUGAGAUUUGCUCAAAUCAUGACAUCCCGAGACAGUGGAUCUCCUCAAAAGGGCAAAUUUGUCAUUUAAAUUAAAGAAACACAGCUUUGUGGUAGUGUUGGGCAGUAUGACGGUGUAUACCAUGUGAUGGUAUAAAAGUGUCUACUGGUAGAAAGAGCAGAUGUCUGCAGGAUCUGAGUCAGUGUGUAGUCGUCUGUGCUCGCUAAUAGAUGAGUCAGAGCGGAGUUUGUUCGCUCCGUUUGAUUGGUCAAGUUUUGGUGUGCUUCCUAAAACAAGAGGAAGAGGAGGAACUCCUUCCGAAAAAUGGCACAAGUGGCAACAUGGGUUGUCUGGAGAUUCUUUGCAUGUCCACUGAGAAUUGCAUGCGCCUCGAGGAAACGCGCACCGCUUAUAGUAAAGUGUUCCAUGGAAAUGUGCAAUUUAAAACCCAUACAAUUCUUACUUGUUGGGCUAAACAAUGAUGAGUAAUGUUCAGAAAGUAAUUUUUAGCGGACACGCGGUACAACACUGGCAGCCAGCGACUCACUCCAUGUGCAGGGGCGUGGUUUCCUCCUCUGAUUGAUGGCUGGCAGGGUAGCAUGGUUGGCAACUGAGUAAAGAACGACCAUGAUUGGUGGAUAGCUGUACAGCACAUGCAGAGUCACAUGCAGUCUAUCUCAGUCAGUUACCCUUGAAAUUAAAUGAGUUCAUUCGCCUUCAACAUCACAAGCUCUACAAUGUGACUAAAGCACACUUGUACAUCACGAUGACAAUGCUCAGACGAUACAUUGUGCAGCUCUAAUACAGUGAUAUAAGAUUUUGUUCAUACCGCCCAACACUACUCUGGGACGUAGGAACAGUGAGUGAGGCUUCCAGAAUGCUGGAUUCCAGAAUACUUGGGAGGUCUUAAAGGGACAGUAGCUUAAAUUAGCAGCCUGGAAUACAUAAAGAAUUAGUUGACCUGUAAAUCAAAUAAAGCUGCAAAGAGGCCUUCAAAGGGACAAUAUAAACGCUCAGAAUAAGAAUAACAUACCCUCUCUAAUCGUUAAAUCUCUUUGGGGGGCCUUUAAAAACCCACAUCAGCUGAAAUCCAGCCUUGAGCCAAGAGGAAAAAAAAUGGUAGGUGGAGGUGAGGGAGGGAAGUGAUGUGUGUAGCACAGAGACAUGUUGACAGAGGACAAAUGAAUAAUGGGGCUGAGAGAUAUAGAGGAAAGAGGGAAAGGGUGAGUGAGGUAUGAACGAAGAAAGGAAGGAGGGAAGGAGGGAGGGCAGGAGACUAGGGGGUGACAGGGUCCGCUUUCCAUUCUUGCUCCCUCUACCGCUUUCCUGCUGAUUUCUAUAUCCACGGCACACCCUGGAGAUUUCUCCCCACACCUCAAUCCAUCACACGCUGCACAUAAUUGUGAGUACACAGAUACAGCCAUGCAUCACUGCAUGGGCCAGAAAGGCGAGGAGCUCCGCGUGUCGGCCGCUGGAAGAAGAGAGACGUCUUGUGUUGCCGUGCUGCACAGGAGGCGAGACAUGAAUGCACGGAGGCCAUUUGUUCUGGCUGAAUAAACAGAAAAAUACCCUCCGAGGCCUGGAUCACUUUCUGACCUGUUCCUCUGCAUUUUAUAUCAGCAGCCAAUUACGGGCCGGCUAAUACUGAUCAAUGCUGCUGUGCUCUCUAUGCAUGAACUUUCCCAAAUGAGGAGGUCUCUUCCUGCUUUCUCCAAUUUGUUCCUCACGCUCUGUGUACGUGGUAUCCCUUUCAUUUUAUUGAUGUGUUUGUCGAUCUCUGUCAUCUAAUUAUUUCCCCGCUCUGUGUCUCUUGCUCCUCUCUCGGCUGCAGAAGGCAUCUCUUUGAUUGCCAGGGCUACACUCUGCUCGGCACAGAUGAUACCCCCUGAUUUGAACCAAAUUAUUGCUCUUUGGUUAGUCCACACUUAAAUAUUUUAGGGGGACAGGGCUUUGAAAUGGCUACAAAGGGACAAAGCCAGGAAUUUAAAUGACAGGAACAUGCAUAAAGAUUUCUAGAUUUUGCAGCUUUUCAUCUGUUCCCGGCAUGCCAAUCCCUGGCCAGCCAAGAGGGAAGGAAAAACGACCAUCAUAAAUAUGGUUUUGAUUUUCUAACCAGGCGAAACAACAAAGUUAUGGCGGGAACAUUAGCCACAUUGAUCCCGUCUGGUCGAUGGAAUAAAGCAGCGAGUGACCUUUCCCUCAUUUGGAGGCAUAAAAUUCCUUGUUGAAGUCUCACAGGGCUCCGGCUGAAAGCAUUAACACAAAUUACCAGCCGCCAUUAAAGGCCCGCAUCAAUUCCAGCCUGCGCCAUCAUUACCAAACGACCGAUAAAAUGCUGGAAAGCCAUCGUCCUGUGCUCUGGCAUGCCUCACACUCACACGAAAAAAGAAGAACACGUGCAGAUGCUAACACACACUCAGCCCUGGAGACCGCUGCGAAGCCUAUUACACACAGUCUGAUUUACAGCUGAGCUGCCUGUAGCAGGGACCAUCAAGCUAGCAGCGCACCAACCUGCCGUGACAGUGCAACUAAUUGAGCCCAGAUAUAUCUGCCCCCCUCCCAACUAAAGCCUGAAAGGGUGAUAACACGCCUACCUGCACAACACUGCCACUCCAUAUUUUACAGACAAAAACAACAAUAAGGGAGGACACACACCCCGGAGCUUCAUUUGGAGAUGUUACAUUUGAAAUGGGGGUAAUUGUCCAGGUUUGCAGUUUGUAAAUCAUUGCCUCUGAGUUUUCUUUGUCUUCAUUCUCAUAAAAAGAAAGGGUUUUUAGUUGAAGAAGCUUUAUAAAAAUGAUCUUUUUAACCCUGAUAUUUCUAGUUACAAACAAGACUUCUACCUCCUGUAAACCAAGGACUUUAAAGGACUCUACACCAAAAGGUGAAGCUCCUAUAAGAGUUUUUAACUGGCUGUGAAACAGAUUGACAUUAAUAGUGAUGCCAUAAACAACAAAACUAAUUGUAAUUUUCAUGCCUAAAACUGCAGCGAGGGGUACGAUUCAGACCAGAUGAUUAACCCUGCAGUGUUACAGACCUGUUUUUACCCAAUUCUUGCUGAAAGGAAACAUAGAGCUGAACAGAUUCUUCAUAGAAGCGACGAGAGAGUCCCUCAAAAUGUUUGAUCACAUAUAGAGCAAACAAAAUAGGACCCAGCACAGAACCCUGAGGCACACCACAGAAAAAUUCAAAGAGGUACACAUUAAAGGGAUAUUCAGCCACGUGCUGUCUGAUUGCAUUUCCUCGUGGAUCAUAUGAGGAUUAUUACUUUAAAGAAAUGAUAAAGUAGUGAUCAUAAAUGUUCUUCCUUGAGCUGCGACACCCCACAGCAGUCAGUGGACUCGCUCAGAGGUCUCCGUACAAACAAGCGGCUGCUGGAAGAGAGUAGGUGAGUUGUGUUUAGUCUCUUUGCUAAAGGAAUCAGGCAAAGCUAAAAAGAUGUUUGGUGGCUAGUGCUGUGGCUGGGACCCAAUAUGUACUGUUGAUGAAGUUAGGUGCUGUUCUGAGCAUUAUUUGUGGCUAUAGAGUGGCUUUUUGGUUGAGCGUGUGGCUCUCUGUAUUGCUAUCUGCGGUCGUUACUAAAGUUGGUAUAACUAGAGAAGCAAACGGUCGGCAACACUCAUCUCUCGAUGGGUGUCUAACUCAGUGUUAUGGUGUGUUUGACCCUAACUUAAUUUUACGCUGGAAUAUUCCUUUAAUACUGCUGACAUGUCAUUUACGUUAGGUGUUUUGUAUUUUUCUCUUUAUUGUCUAGAUGGGUCUCAGGUCAGGCUGGACAGUGAAGCACAGUAACAUAAUAGUCAGUAUACUAUUCAGUCGAAGUUUUGGCACUGUGGGCAGGUGGUAAGUCUUGUUGGAAAGGGAACUGAAGAUUGUUUUUAGGCUUGUCAGCAGAUAGAGGCACAAACUACAACAGUAGGUGACAUGACACCCCAAGUAGUCCCAGACUUUUCAUACUUCUUGGUUGUUUAUUAGCAAAGACGUGCUCCACUGACCACAAAUUGCUAUAUACCUUUAUUAGUGUUGUUUACAUACAUGAGACACAGCUGUACAAAUCAGUGUAAAGCCAUAUGAAGUUGACUGCUUUGCUGCAGACAUUAAACUCCACAUGCACUCACACGAAACUUGAAUGUAAUAUGUCAAACUUUAUCAGGAACAUGGACCCACGCUUUUCUGAAACUUAUUAUCAUGAGAAUAUCCAGUAGCACAGGCUUCUAGCAUAACCAAUCAAUCAACUUUUUAUUAAAGAAAUAUUCAAUAAAGUAGACACUUGUCAGUGUUCCACCCACACCAAAACACCCACAUCUGCUGCAUGUUGUUGCUCGGCUCGGAGCCUCUCAGAGACACCAAAUCAAUGUCAUUAAAUCAGGUCUAUUCUGAGUGCUUAAUAAAAAGUCUGUCACCUUAUGUGUGCUCUGAUAAAGCUCUGAUCUCAUAACUAGUACAACAAUAUUCUGCCAUAGAUGAAUAAAUCCACCAUCCAAGACUAACAAGCUUCAUAUUAAAGCUGCGCCAGGCAGGAUUUUAUUGUGAAAAUCUAAUGCCGUAACAGAGAGGAGUUUGUGAAAUGAAACAAAGACAGAUAAAAGCAUCCAAUCACAUCUAAUUAAAUUUGUUUACAGAGCCGGGGUCAAAGAGGGUCGGUGGUGGGAAAAUAGUCCCUGCAUGCAGAAGUUAUGACGUCUUCUGAAUCAUUUAGAGGAACCCUGAGGAUGACAAAGAAGACUGGGAGAAGUCUAGGGUAUGAAAUAUUUGUUACACACCAACCAAACAUUUACAGCUUUAAGGGUCCCGUAAAUUCUUCUCUCCCUUUACGAACAAAUUACAGUAAAGUUUGAUAAAAACAGAUUAUUACCGCAAAAAUAUCGUAAAACAUUAUUUUGAUUUUAUCAUGUCUUUUUUUUUAGAUUUAUUUUGUGAGACUAUUUAUAAGUUACAGUACAACCAACCUUUUGUCGCAACUUCAUUAUUUAACAUAAUGUUUUUUUUCUGAAGUUGCAACAAUGCUACUUUAGGGUCUGACCUAAAAAAAGAAAAGCAUGAAUACAAAUGUCUUUUUAUUUGGAACGUAGUCCAAAACAGUUUAUAUAAUAAUUGUGAUUUUAAAGUGACAUAACAGGGCUCGACAGUGCAACCGUUUCACUCGCAUUUGCGACUAAAAAUAGAUGUGUGCGAAUUGUAAACUGUAUUUAGGGGCACGUGCGCAUAAAAAAAAUCAGCCGGGGCAAUAAAUGUUUUUCAUGUAAAUAACGCAGCGAAGUUAGUUUUAGGUUGGAUAUUCAACGGACAUUCACUGCGAAACUACCGGUGUCCUUUCACUCCCCAUAACUGGUAAUACCAACAGCAACGUGGUUAAGUCUACUCGGCACCCUCACUGUCAACGUCGGUUGUUGAAUAAGGGACUAUCAAUAAAUUACUGGUUGAUGUUCUCAAAAAAGGCUGUUUUCCCUCAAUAGCUUCCAUGUCAUGUGACCAAUUGACUUAAAAUUGAUUUCAAAUAAUGGUACUAAGGUCAGACGAUAUGACACAUCCCUUUAUGUUUAUAAUUUGUCCUCUAAAAAUUUCUGUGUUAAGUUUAAAGGCAAAUUUUGAACAUUUUCUUCAAAAGCUUCCAUGUCAUGUGACCAAAAGUGACCUAAAAUUGAUUUCAAAUAAUAGUACUUCUGUUGACCAAUAAGACAAACAUUAUUUGAUCAGUUUUCAUUGUGACCCUAAAGUUCUUUAUGUGCUCCUUACUUUUUCAACUUAGAGCACAUGUGAUCCUUGUGAAGGAAAAGUUAGUGUCAAGCCCCAAUCCUGUUCUGUCGCAGUCCCUGUUUCUUCCCACUAAAAGGCCCCAAAGUCAGGAUAUCCUAAACCACACACACUGUCUUUAAAGUUAAACUAAACCAGCGUGACCACUGUAAUGAGAAGCUUUAGUCUGCACUUUAUUCAACCACAGCAAGUUUAAGCUUAAGCAUUUGUCUGUUUUAAUGAAAGUAGAAGUUUCACAUGUUUGCUGAACCUCUUUACCCCUCUGUCCUCCACCAAAGUGUGUCAGCCAACAGCUCAGUGUCGAGUUGUGUAACUUUUGGGCAGUCAUGUCUUCAGGCUUUGAAAAAUUAAAGCCAUUACAUCAUGCUGCCACUGGGGGCUGUCAGAGUUGCCUUGCGCAGCUCUAAAACGGUGCACAGUGAAAGGUUGCAUUAACCAGUCAUGAUUUGGGGAUGAUUUAUUAAUGAUGAAUGUUUCCACUCUUCACUUUUUCAUGUCUUCUCUUCAUAUUUCAACCUUUCUCUUGUGGGACAUGACCCGACAUGCAUGGCGAAGACAGUUUUAUCUUUCUUUCCACUGAUUCUAUGUCCAGUGUGUGGUUUUUACAUGUGUGCUUGUGUCUGAUCAUGCAUAUUAUGUGGGCGCAUGUUUCUCUUAGCGCUCUCCAGGCCCCUGCUGCUCUCUAACCUUUACACUGCACCGUGUGAGGUCAGGUUGUUCACUUUUCUUUCUUUCUAUCUCUCUCUCUCUUUCUUUUUUCUCUCCCGUGCCUCACCUCUCAAUCACACUGAGACCAGAGUGGAUUUCUUUCUCUGACAAUGACAGGUGGGUGACAGGUUAUCUGCAGGUUGCAUCACUUUGUAUUAACGUCAACAGGCGAAGAGUAUAAAAACAGGGUUUUGCAUUUUAAUACAAUAUCUCAAGGCUUUUAUGAUUUAAAAGGAUUGACAGAUGUUUGGUUGUCCCUCGAUACUUGAACUCCUUCAUCUGAGAAAGAGACAACCAGAUAACAACAUAUCUGCAGCUGAUAUUUUCCAUUUAAUAUAUCAGUCAGACUACAGGGUUUUCAGGUCAUGUCUUAAAAAUGAUGUAAUGGACAUAAAAAGAAGCUCUGAGAGUCCAAAAUGUUGCUCUUUUAAUCUUUUGAUUUCCAGUCAUUUCAACUUUACAUAAAAUAAAACAGAAAAACAACAAAAUUUCUUACUUUGAUACCUCCAUUGGAGAAAAGUGUUUAUUUGCAUGCAGUUUGUUGCAUUUGGUGAUACAGAUCUUUUCACAUUUCCCCUGUUUUUCAUAUACAUCAGGUAGUGACACAGCGUACCGUAAUGCUUCAAAUCUCCAUGAAGCGGCGCGGCUUCGUUGCUUACCAAAGUUGUACUUACACGUUUUGACAGAUUUUUGAGCGUAUUGUAAUUCAGAUAAUCGGUCAGUAAUCACAACAAGUAAUCAUACAUAAAGCACGCUAGAUUAUAAGGCGCACUGUCAAUUUUUGGGAAACUUUAAUGAUUUUAAAUGUGCUGUUUAGUCAGAAAAACUCAGCAUAUGGAAAAGCCAAGGCAGGUAGAGCAGCAGCAAAGACACUAGAGAAGAACAAAGCAGGAAUCAGUGACAGCAAGGAGUUAACAUGGAGGCAUCUGAUUCACACUGUUUGUACUAAAUUCAUAUGAGUUAAUAACUUAAAAUGUGAUUUUUUUUUUUUGAGUUCUAAAUCAAACUCAUUACAGAAAAUGGUUAAAACAUCUCAGACCAUAGUCCUACUUUUAUCGUAAUUCUCAUUAACCUUUUUUAAUAGGUCCUAGCAUGGUUUUUUCGGUAUGUUUUAAACACGCAAUUAAAAUCCUUUUUUAAUUAAAAUGCCUCUAAAUCCUCAUUUUUUGCUGUUCCUGAUAAAGCUUUGACCCCUCUUUGGAAAAAAAGAAAAGAAAACAGAAACUCUUUCCGAAUCCGAUGAUAUAAAGCUUUAAAUUGCCUCUUAUUUAAGGCUGCUAGUACUUUAAACAAGGUUCUACAUUUUUAGGAUGAAUGUUCAAGGUCAGGAUGUUUAAAUGUUCCUUACUUGCAGAGUUAAGUUUAUCGGACGUUGACAAAGAGGUCUAUAGAAAAGGUCCCAUAAAAACACAUCAAUAAAUAUACAUUUUCAAUGACACUGUAUGUAAAAAAAUAAAAAAUAAGUAGUGCUGCUGGAAUCAAACCACAGAAUAAAAAAGCGAUUCGUUCCAGAUUUGCUAUAAAAAAGAGAGACAGCAAGCGGUCUCACUGUCAGUCUGGCCUCCCAAUAAUACUUCUCUGUUUCACACAGAACUCAACCUGUGACUCUUGGAAAGGAUUUGCAGGCCAGCUGUCAGUGCCAGCACCAGACAACACACAUGCACAAAAUGAGCCGACACACACCCGUGUGAGGCGGGAGGCACAGAGACAGAGAUGUGAGGGAGGGAGGGAAGGAAGCGAGCCACACUGGACUAUUCUUUGAACAAAGCUUUGUGCUCGAUGUGCGCUCGCCGCUUUCGCCUUUAUCUGCUGUCCCAUCCUCCCUCUCCGUGGGUGGGCAUUUGCGAGCACGGAUAGUGGUCCAGUCUCAGUCCUGGAUGCCUGCCCUUGGCCCGAAAAGCAUGAUGAGAAACCGAGGAGAGUCCAAAAUUCCCAUAAUGCUCGUACGGAGCAGGUUCUGAGAUAAUCGGACAGCAGGAAGUGGGAACAGCUUACAGCUCUGGACAGCAGAUACAAAGGAGUGCGGAUAUGUGCAUUUACGUGUGUGUGUUUGUGUGUUCUCAUGAGUGUGUAUGAAUGUUUCUGAGGAGCUGGCAACAGGACUGCAAGUCUGCUGCCAGACUCCCUCCAUAUGUCCAUCCCAGUCUGUCUGCGCUCACUAGCAUCCAGCACUAACAGGCUAAAAAGCAUUAGUGGAUAUUUAACCGGCCGUUACAGAUCGGAUCAGAGGAAGAGAUGGAAAGGAAGCGACAGCACUUGAAUGAGACAGACUGUCCUUAAGGAGCAGAGUUACUAUAAGUGGAAGAGAUCUCAUAACUCUGAUGUUUACCCGGCUCAGUACACCCUGUGAUAUUCAAUAUGCAGCGUUCACCAUGCAUCUUUUCUUCUUCUCUUGCUCAGGGGAUGAACAAAUAUUCAUAAACAUGUACAGAAGGGAAGUUCAGUUUUGAUUAAGAAAGAAAAGGUGAACAAACACUCCGUCAAUUUGGUGUAUUUUUGGAAUAUUCUUGACUUUUUUUGUACUUCAGAGUUGACAGCUUUGAUGAGCCUCAGUCACUCUGAGAUGAAAUAAUAAUCCACCUUAAAUGUUGUCUAUGAUGUAACCAUGGAAAAACUGCAAGGAAGCCCAAGAUAAGAGUUUUUUUUAAUGGCAACUGCUGGCUACACUGGUGUCCAAGAGGCUGUAUGGUUCUGAGAUGAUGGUGAAUGGAUUUCAAAUUGACAGAAACCCGACAAAAACCUGUUUAUCUAUGUAUUUGCAUGGUCUGAUAAGUUGGAGGACACAUUCAACUUAAUUCAAGAUUAAGUUGAAGCUACUCAAACUAGUCGGCUUUGUGAAUAUCUAUGUUUUCGGCUGUUGGUUUGGUUGUUUGACCAGUUAGUUUAAUGGUGACGUUGACGGACAGCCAAUAUCAGUUGGUUGAGCUGCAACAUUGGUCAAGUUUGGACUCCUCUUUGACGGUUUUACAUGAAAUUCUGUUCAAACAUACCAAAGUCAAGCCCCUCUUAAUCUCCAACCUUUUCUUUUGAAAACCUUCCCACGACUCUACCUACGAGACUAACAAUUUCAGAUACUUGUUUAAUAAUGAAUUUCACUGACUUCAGUGCUACUUUGACUUGUUCUCCCAACAUCACCAUGAAAUUUUUGAUGAAAACCACCAGACAGCUUGCCAAAGCUAGUUCAAAUAACCACAGAUUCAUCCAAAUUUGAUGAUCUUCUGACAUGCAUUAUUAAAGUUUUGAGUAGCUCACCCCAAGUUGGGUACAACAUGGACCAAGUUUCUGUUACAUCACCCAUUUGUUCCCCAAAC